rfam:Triticum aestivum genome assembly, contig: Triticum_aestivum_CS42_TGACv1_scaffold_579850_7BL
GAUGUACUCCCUCCGUCCGGAAAUACUUGUCAUCAAAAUGGAUAAAAGGGGAUGCAUUUAGACAUAUUUUAGUUCUAGAUACAUCUUUUUAUCUAUUUUGAUGACAAGUAUUUUCGUACAGAGGGAGUAUGAA